ensembl:lncRNA
ACUCUUUUUUGUUUUUCCCUUUUGACUAUCAAGAGGGGAAAUAGGCUGAUGCUUUUGAAACUGUUGGUUACAUUUUGAGUGAAAGAUACAACUUAAAACUUCCUAAAGUGUGAGAGGAAAAUGGUUUAAGAGUCCAGCUUAUCUUGAUUUUAACCAUGAUCCAGAUGUUCAUUGUGUCAGGGUUGGGGGUGGAAGGCAGGACUCAAACGCAGACUUUUCCAAUACAAAAAGACUUUAAUAGUCAAAAGGUCCAAAAUCCAAGGGGCAAAAACACUCAGGCAUGAAACUAUGGGCAUCCAAGACAAAAGACAGGACAAGGACAUGCGUGGCAAAAGACAAUGACGCGACCAGAGACACACGGCUUAAAUACACAAGGGAGGUGCAGGUGAUUGGAACACAGGUGGAAACUAUUAGACGAACACAGGGGAUGACGAGACAAGGCAGGAAGUGAAGUUACCCGGGGACACGAGUGGCAGAAAACUACAAAAUAAGACAGGAAGUGAACCACACCGUGACACAUUGUGUCUGUUAAAUAAAGAUCCACGAUGGCUACGGUAAAAAAGUUGACUGAUAUAUGUUUGAUUUUACAACAUGUCCUUUAAGAGCAUUAUCAUAAGAAUAUACCACUAUGCAUUUGAUAGGAUGUUACACAACUUUUUUUGUUCUUAAUUGUAAACUCGUUCAUCGUAUUGUUUUUUAGCAGCAGAAUUUAUUUCAUGCUCGAGCUUGAAUUUCAACCAAUUUGCGAACAUUCCAUAUCUAAUUUUGAUUAAUAUAUCAUAGUAAAGUGCUCAACGUUGGUAAUUUAUGGGGACGUUGUCACUCUUAUCUUAUUACUACACCCACAAAAGGUAUACGGACAACUUUAAAGUACAAAAAAUGUGGCGGUUGUAAGCUGAAUCCUUGUCACUGAUUGGCUAUUGAAUCUCAUCAUAAAUUUGAUAAAUUGUUCUUAAAUGCUGACCCCCACAUUCCUCUAAAGGAGAAAAAGUCACUUUUAGCAAAUAACUUUUCCAGAGGCCUGCACAGAGGCCACUACUGUAAUGAUGUAAAUCUGCCACUGUCACAAGAUUUCACUUCUUAAAUAAAGGCGCUUUCUAUUUAUUCCCAGUGUUUACCUUCUUCUCCUUGUGAAAAUAAAGUACGAAACCCAUCAACCCGGCGGUUAAGUAGAACCCCGAUAUUGCCUUAGAGCCACGUGUGGCUUCCCCUCCUCUCCUGGCUGUGAGCACUGAUGCCGUGCCAGAGAACGGUGCUCUGCUGCGAUGUGCUGUUCCAUUCUGUUCCUGUGCUGUCCUGUUCCGCGAUGCCGGCUCCUCGCUAGGUGCCAAGUGAUUUUUAUCACUGGGAAAACAGUCUCCUUCCAAUCUCAGCCCUCUCAGGAGCAUAUGAAUACACUUUACACUCACACGAAGGAAAACAGGUAACUUGAGACAAGGCAAGGGCAAGAGCUGAGCGCCGCAGGUAAAAGGACUGCAGUGUGUUAGCGUGUGCGCAGUGUGGCAUCUGUGUGUGUGUGGGUGUGUGUGUGUUGGACUUGUUCACACUCAUGGAUCCCCUUUUAAUGAACAAGAGUUGUGUCUGCACAGUAUAUAUGCUUCAGUCUUAAUGCUGCACGUACAGUUAGCGCUGCGUUUCUGGCACAAAAAUACGCACAGCUAAACCUUGCGGCGGAAAAUGGAGACGGGCUGGGGACUGCUCGUUUUUAUUCCAACCUUUGUUUAUUCAGGGAGAGGCAACGGGGCAAAUUUGACCUUUUCCAGUGAUGUCACAUUGCCACACGGGUGCUGUUGUAUUGUCAAUGUCAACCGCACAUGGUGACAUCCUCGACACCCCCCAACACCUCGCUCAAAGACAAAGAAUGCAGAAGGGAGGGAGGGGAAGGGGUGGGGGGCAUUACCUAAAUUUCCAUCCGAUAUGAUUUCCAUGAGGUUAUUUUGACAAACAAAUGUAAUCCUGAACACCUUUUCAAAUCGUAUUUUCCACUCAUUGUCAUUGGGCGGGGGAGCGGUAAUCUUACCUCCAAUAUGGAAGCCUGCCCAAGCUAUUCCUACUUCCAACGCGUCAUGUACCAACGCGCAUGCAGUCUGAUACCGACACAGCGGGCUUUCAACCGUCAUUUUUAGACGCCGAAGUGACCAUGUGUGUGUAUGCAGAGCCUGUGGGUUGGGAGGUCGGGCUCAAACAAACAAAGAACUUUAUUUUUCAUGUAAAAAGCAUAUUUGCCUUUGUUUGUAAUAUAAAUAACUCUUUGCCAGUGUGAAAACAUGAAACUGAAAUUCCGUGCUUUUGCCACUGCCUUAUUAUUUCACAUAAUGAUAAUUUCCUGACCCUCAUAUAGAUAUUUUGUUUAAAUUAACCUGAAUACUAAGUAAUCCUAUUUGUUCAAAUAAGAUUACCCGUUGGCAUUAUUUGAUGAGUUGGAAGUGACAAUGUGCGCGUGAUACGUCACUUAGCUGAAGCUUGGUUAAGUCUCAAGAGUGCAUGGAAAAAUUGCAUUUUCAGUUACAUUUUAUUUUUUUGUGUCUAUUCUAAUCAAUCAUUUAAGUACCUCCCAUUCGCACAAGGAAUUUUAAAUAUAUCACAUUAGAAUUUUUAAUAUGGCUUGAUGAUGGCUAUAUUAUUUCUCCAAUGCAAAAACCUACUGUUAUAUUUUCUUCAUCAGAGUUGAUAGUGCAGCUUGAAAAAAACUGUCAGACAAUACAUGACAUACACACAGUGCAUUAUCCUGUUGCUUGGCACUAGAGAGGGUCCAGAAAUCUGUACGGACAAAUGAAUCACAGAUUUACAUUGCAGAAUGGCAAAAUCAAUCCAAGGAAAUCAUUUCCAUGUUUGUUUUAAUCAAUUAGAUGGAAAGGAGAAGUUUGGAAGGCAGCCACCACUCUAACAUGGAAACUUUGUGUCCUAAAACAUUGAUGGUGGAGUAAUAACCACCAUAGUUUCUGACCCAAACAAGGCGUGUCAAAGGCCGUCUCCUCAUCAACUUGUGUUUAUUUAAAUUCAGAUUUUCUUUUUUACACACACAUGUCCAUUAAUCCCCAGUAAUGCGUCUCCAUCCCUCCUUCGCCCUAUCCUCCCCUCCUUCUUUCACCAGGGCCGUUUAUUUUAGAUUUUUUGAGGAAAAAUCUGCAAUGAAAUGAAAAUAAAGGUAGCUUUACUCUCAUAAUAUUUAGAGUGGAGAGCAAUUUAUUUUCCUUUUAUUAAAUGCUGAUUAAUAUGCAGUGUUGGGGAGACAAAUAUUGCAGGUCUCAUUUCCCCAGUAUCCUGUGCUGAGCGGCUCAGGCUCGGAGGUGGAACCGGCCCUAAAUGGGCUGCAGAUAUGGAAGUCUGGUUUAAAUUAAAGUAAAGAAACUCCUUUUUCACCGUUCCCUUUUUCAGUCUCCUCUUCCGUCAGUGUGUUUUUUUGGCGGGAUUAGGUGUGUCUUGUUUUGGGUCCGGCCUUAAUGACGAUGCUGCGAACAUCCAAACCCUCACCGCUCUGGUUAGAUUUGCAAGAUCUCACACUGUAUUUGAAUGUAUUCAUCAUGUUGUCUUACAUACAUUGGGAUAUGAAUGAAAGAGAUCCAGGCUGUGAGUCAGUGAGUCUAAAAGGUUUCAGAGUAAAUGGGCAGAAAAGUAAACUUUAAUAUUUAAAAGUAAAAAUUAAUAUUUUUAUUUUUUUACUUUCCUCGGGUACUUGACUUGAUUAAUUAUUGGGAAAAGCCAACUGGCUGCAAACAUUGGUUAUUUCUCAUGUAAAACUCAUUCAUCAAAAAUAGUAAAACCAGACUCUCAAUUUAGUCUAAUGCAUUAGUUUGCCAAGAUAUUGGCCAAUACUCUGCCUUUAAUAUGAAUCCAAUUAGUCCAUGUCCUACAUCAUUGUCUCCUUCUUAUCGUAUGACAAAGAUCAGGAUAUCAUUUUACUGCCUUUGGGUUGCUACAACUACAAAUCAAAAGCAAAACUCCCUCAGGAGCUGCUCACACACAGAUUAGUAGUGUGGGGUUAAGUGAAGAGAUUUAGUGUCCCAUGAUGUUCUGACAGUUGUGUUUAAUCCAGGAGAGAAUAACAGGAGAGAUGGAAGAUUAAAGGUGUUGGCAGUCGGUGUAGCACCUCAAAUUCAUGUCCCAUCUAGUAUUCGUACCCUUUCAAAAUGUCUAAACUCAUCAGCUUCAAUUGUAGCUACCGUUUCACAAAUUAAAUAGGUCUUGAUGAACACACUGCACAUUACCUACCCAGCACAAAAGGGCACACAGACACAGAUACUACUAAAUUAACAUAAUAGAGUUUUUAGCCACUAGAACCACAGGUAUUUUAAUCCAGAGUUUUUGGAGACCACAGUACAGCCGUAAAGAGAGUAACCUAGAGGUAGUUAGUCAAGCUACAUCAGUCGUUCAACACUAAUGUCCAAAUCUUACAUUGCCACAAUUUACAAGGAGAUCUUGUAUAUAUACUGCAUGUAAAAAUCAUACCACCACAGGUCACAUCUGUUUUUGGUGAAGAGACAAAAACUCAACAAAUCACACAAAAAUUGCACUGGUGUUCCUUUGCAAAUACACAACACUUGCGCAUGCAUGGAACACCACAAGAUGGGAACCCGGUAGGGAGCUCUGACUCACGUCGUUUGGGUUUGCAACGUAGGUUGGCCCGUCACGUGAAAGGCUGUCCUGGAACAACUGGCUGUUUUAACAGGCCUCUGAGAGAUGCCCUCUCAUUUCCUCCUGGAAAAGCUGAUCAAUCACAGCUCUCAUCACCUUGGAGUAAGGGAGAAACAGAGUUGUGGGUGGACUGGUCUGGGACAAAGCAAAAGGUGAGAUGGGUGAGGAAUUGAGGAUUCUAACAGUGUUCAUGCCUCAUCAGACUGAUGAGAGGACAGAGGAAAUUAAAACAGGGCUUAAUGAGCACAUUGAAAUGACAGCUUAUACAGUACAGAAUGUACAGAAUGUACUGUAUUAGCUACGUACUACAGCCAUUAGCCCAUGUACUAAAAUAUCCCCGUUUGGAAUUUUAAAACUGGGCUGAAUCACGGCAGUAAAACCUACAAGUUUCACCUGAAGAAUCUCAUAUGUUCCCUCUGUAUAGUGAACAACCGAAAUAAUAGGAAAGGAUUAGACGAAGACAAAAGAAGACAUUGAAAAAAAUCGGAAUUUGGCUCUAAAUCGAGAUUUCUCCCUCCCUCCCCAAUUUGUCUCUGUGAGUGUUUUACAAGAGCUAGAUGAAUUGCUAAAGGUAACAUCCAUCCAUCAAUGGGGAAAGAGGAAUGUUGUGCUCUUAGCGGUUCUCCCUCCACCCGGCCGACACUUAAAACAACACAUUGUGCCAGCAGCUCUUGAUUUCCACUGGUUUAACACCAUGUCGUUUUUCAAGCGAGGGCUAUCAGAAGCAUUUAGACUGAAAGCAGAGCAGACCCCUGUAGCCUACUAGCCCCUGCCUUCUCUGACUCAGACCAUACUCAGCUCCAAUUUGUCCAGACAUGGGCCAGUGUGUUGGUGUGUGGGUGUACUGGGAUAUUGUUCCAUGCAGAUGUAACACUGCAGGAAGCACUUUGUUGUACUUUUUUUCACGGUGGGCACUACAACAGAAUAGAUAUCUUGUAAACAGGCACACUGAAAUUCUUAAUCUGAUUAAUCAAAUAAUAGGGAUAAUGUAUCCGUUUAUGCUAUUUAACAAUUUCACCAUAUGUUUCAGCUGCUACAACAUUAAGCUAUCAGGCUGCCAUGCUUUUUGACUAAUUUUGUAUAAUUGAUUGUUAUUUGUGUUUCUCGACAAACGAUCAGCCUAUUGACUACAUGGAAGCUUGGUGAAAAAAACUUUAAAAAAGUGUUUUUACUCUGCUUUUAUGUACACGCACAUCUCAUCUUACACCACUUUGUCAUAUUGCUUCAACAAUUUCUGCGUUUGGUAGGGACUAUUUCACAAACCCUUGGGGUGAUUGAGUUUCUCGUGUGAAUCCCAAUGGCCACAAGACUUUCCCUUAGUGUGAACCACAGGUUGACAAUAUUGUGUCUUUGGAUUGGCCAUUAUAGUCUGAUAGCUGCUGAUGUGGCUGAAGAAUCUUAAUCUUUCAGCAGUAUGCAGCGGCAUCUCCUGAAUAUUGGCUCUUUUGUAAGGAUUCCUGUCUAACCCUGGUGUUUUUUCCCUCUGUUUCCCACAUAUACUCUCCUGAUGUUGAUGUCAUUCCCAUGUUUGUUAUUGUUUUGCCAUGUGCUUGUGUUUUGGUUUCUGUGUCCCCAGUAGUGUCCUCAGAGUCCCGCCCAGUGCCACGCCUCCUCCAUUAACACAACUGUGCCUUCUCGUUAUCCCAGCUGACAUAAAUACUCUAGCUUUCCUCGCUCCAGCUGUCAGUCCAUCCGUUAAACCACCCCGGUAUCUCGGCGCAGUGAGUUAUAUUGUUUCAGUCCUGUGUGAUUCCGCAAUAACUGCUUGUUUUUCACUCUUGCCGUCCAGCGUCGAACCUCGGGUAUUCACCUGGCCGAAGAGGUCGCCAGUUCCUUCCACGGAGAUCAACUGAGCACCUACCUACCCCUGUGUCGAGCCUUGGGUGUCACACAAUCAAGCUGCCCUGCCUGCCUGUCUGCCUCCUAGUCAUGCAGCGGGAAAAUCACCUUUCUGAGUGAUUACGGAUCGGUGCGCACGGACGCGUCAUCACGUGGCCGAUUCGACUUGUUUCCUUUUUUCAGCCACUCACACUUGUGUGACUUGUGUCUCCUGUUGCUUUUUUUGUCCUGCCUGAUAAAAUAAAUUCACCUGUUGGAUUAAGAGAAACCUUGGUGGUCCUGCGUGUUGCAUUUGGGUCCGUUUGCAUAUCGUAACAUUAACAAGAAAAUGUUAAAGAAAGCUUUCCCUCUGGAACCGUUUUUACAAACUAUUGUUUCUGUGGUACCUUUAGCCUACAAGAUCUUGUGGACAAAUGCAAUAGAUGAGAUUCCUUGCAUGGCUGUGAUGUGCAAGUAGUAGACAAAUGUUUUCUACAAAAGCUACAGCUAAGACUUUUACUGUACAAUUGGCUUUAAGCUGGCGUUUAGGAUCUGUGCAUUGUAACCCUUGAGCCAAUCUCUCGUUAACUUGCCACCUCCUGUUGAAAAGAAAAGAAAAAAAAAUCUGCGAAAUGGAUCCCCAUUAUAGCUUCACGUAUUAUAGCAGACUUUAGUUUCAUAAGCUUUUGAAAAGUUUCCCAGGGGUUGCCAUAAUUUCUGUGGUUUAUUUUCGGAACGUUUACUUUUUCUUUCCACCUAAACGAUCCGUAUGGGCCCUUGAGCUCUUGAACCAUCUCAAUCCAGUUUCACACUCCUACUUCGGGGCACUUAAUGUAGUUGGAUAGCACGUUGGUAAAGCCAACGUCAAUCCUUAAAUAUCCACAAUCCCAAUUCCAAUUCUCGCCUCGUAAGAUUAAUGCAGCUUGAUUGACAUUCAGUGUGCAACGAGUAAUAAUAAGCAGGACAGGCCAGGCGGAAUGGGGGCCGAGGGCAAGAGCUGAGCUCAAAAACAAGCAGCGCUGGGCCUUGUCUGCCAUAACAUCUUGUACCCGAGUGUCGUGUUCUGGCAACCAAACAUAAUUCCUCAGUCUCUAUGUCUAGCUGUCAUUUCACAAAGCCUUUAGUGGAAAUCAUAUCCGUAAGUGAGAAAACAGAGCAGAGAGAGAGGAUGGUGUAAAACAUGACUUCCUCCCCGCAGCUUUGCCCACAAGAGCUGUUAUGUGUGGUGUUUUCCUUUUGGUCAUGCAGAUAAAUCAGCCCGACGAGGACGAUCGCUGUCCCACAUCUUACCAUUCUGUCUCCAUUCCUAUUUCCAGCCAUAAUGCUUUCCUCCCGUCCCCUUCUCGUCGUCUCGCAGUGUUCUUCCUCCUCACAUCUUCCGUCUGUUCUUUCCUUCCUACAUUACUGCGUCACCUCUUUUGUGCGAGUCUGAGCCGCUGCUCCGACAGCCAGCGUGUAAUGCUACACCUCUGACCUGCGAGAGUCAGCAGACUGUUGUUUUAGUCAGAGAUUCAUUUCUCGAGUCUGCUGUGCUGAGUUUGUCAGAGAGCAAAUGAGCUCCGAUGAAAACCGAAAAGGGAAAUAUGGUUAAUGCACAUGAUUCAGCUGAGAUACAAUAGAUGUUUUGACACCUGAAUUUGAUUUAGUUCUCGACUUUUAAGUUGGGUCAGACUGUUGCCAGCUUUUUGAGACCAGAGCUUAUUGACAUUGCUCCCUUUACUGCAGCUAUAUGCGUACUUCACUGCACAAUGGGAUCAAUUAGUAGCUGGAUGCAUGUGACUUCACAAAGUCGCAUUAAUGUUAUACCUGCACAGUAUUUGGCUCAUAACAAUGGUAUGUUCUUAUGAGCAUACGUACCCCACAUGCAGCCAAGACCUGCCUCGUCAUCGUCAAGAGGGAAUGUCGUAAUAAAGUCACAUGGGAUGGAAAAUUAAACAUUUCAGCAAAUCUCAUCUCAUCGCUUUACAAAUCUUCAAUGAAAUCUCAUGACACGUGGAGCUGAAUCCAUUCAUUCUUCCUGCAUUCUGACCUGCGUUGGUUUCCAGCAGCGUGGUGGCCAUAGAUUUGACCAUGGAUGUGUAAAGAGAAGUGGAUACAAUAUUGGCGGAAGGUCUCACGUUCGUUCCAUUAAAGAAGUGGCGCAUGAAGGAAGCUCAUUCCCAUGACCAGAAGAAAGCCAACCUUUUAUAACUUUUAGCACAUUCGGUUUAAAAUAAGGGCUAUUCAAGUUUUUGUACUGGAAGGUUGAUUUACCAAAAAUGCAUUCCAUUAAGUUAUCUUUCUCAAUGUAAAUAUAUAGGGAAACUAGCAUUUUUGGCCGAAUUGGAUCAGGUGGUGGACCAGCGGGAUCUAAUCUAUGUUUGGCAACUACAUAAAACUAGCCUCAAAGACCUUUGCUCUUUCUGGGUCUAGUUAUGGAGAGUUGCACGUGUUGCUGUUUGGAAUUCUCUCACAACCUUCCCCCUUUAGUCUUUCACAUAGUGGAAAUCUGGGUAUCUUUCUCUCGAUGAUCGGCACUGCAGGGUUAACAUGAAAUACAGAUAUGAAUAAAAAUGGUUAUCUUUGUGAGAGAAGCUUUUAUAUAAUUCACUUCUUUCCUUUCCCAAUUAAUAUAUUAAAAACAUAUAUCAAGAAUCUUGCUGAUUGAAUUAUUAGUGUAAUGUAUAACGAUAUUCCUUUAUUAGUCCCACAAUGGGGAAAUUCACCAGAUCGCAGCAACAAAGUGCACAGUGCAUACAAGAUACAUGGUAAAUAUUCAUAGUCAGUACCUUCCUCCUCGUCCAGAACCCCUUUGGAUGUUCUUAUUCCCCUCGGAGGAAAAUGACUCAGCAUUUUGUAAACGAGUCAGCUACACUGUCUCCCGGAGUGUUUGUCCCUGUUCACACGCCAAUUCCUCCCAUCCCAAAAAAAUCAAAUCUAACUGCAGCUGCACUCUUUCGUAGCUUAAAACCCUGUGACUUCAUCUACAUUUACAGGUUGUGCCACACUGAAUGUUAUGUGUUUGUGUUAAGCAUCUGUGUUCUCAGCAGUGCCCCCUGCAGAGCACUCUAGCUGAGGCCCAAUUGACUCCCUGCCAAUCGGAUUCCUCUCAUCCUGGGCCAGACACUGACUCUGGCCAAUCAGAGUCCUAGCUCAUUUCCAGAGAGGAAGCGGUGACGGCAAUGGUGGGUAUCUGUUAGCAUAUAGGGCAGGGAAAGGGAAAGAUUCAUUUGAAGCCAAGGACUGAAUCUUGUAGAAAUAAACAGCCAACGUCUUCAUUUAUUUUGGCGUUAUGGCGAACUGAGCAGUUUUGUACAGAGUGCAAUAUGUUGUGUUUCAAAAAUGCGUAGAAUUAGUAUUGCAGAGAGUUUAGAAGAUCUAUGAAUAUCAUGUUGUGUUUUGUUCUCUGUGAAGUCAUCAAAUGAGUGCAAUGCGUUGCUGCUGUGCACCUAAAUGCCAGCACCUAAAACUGCAUAUUCUAUAAAAGACACGUUAUGAGAAAUAAUGAAUUUUCCCUAUGUCUCGUCAAAUGCACACAAUCGAAAUCACACAUGCACCACAAUCUCACACACCUAUCAGACAUGUUGUCAUCUUCAUCAAACACACACUAAGUUCUGAGGAUGUGUCACUGGAAGUCGGACUAGGGAAGAAAACACAGCAUUUAUUUUCUUACGAGGAAGACGAAACACAUCAAAACGAAACAUUUAGCCAUCAUAAUAAGCCUAUAUAAGCUUUGGUUCCUUAUGCACACAGAUUGUUACAGAUAACUUACGUGACCGUUGGCUAGCCUGUCUAAUUGCUCUGUCCUUUCUCUGUGUGACUCAUGUAGAUGUUGAGUUCAUAGUUGUGAUAACCGGGUUUUGUUGUUUCUUUACACUUCCUGUUGCAAGAACCAGAUUUAGAAUGACUAGAAGACAAAAGGACAGACCACUCUGGAAUUGGGACUCAUUCCUCCCUGAUUGUCUUUGGUCCACUUAGACUCUCCCAAUCAACUGCUUAGCUUUGGUGUGAAUGCACAUGAGUUCGACACACAGGUCCAUGUGAGUUAUAAGAGACUCAGGCACAGAGACAGACAGUAACCAUCCUGGACAGAGUGGAUCUGCCCCAGCGUGCCUUGCCAAGAUGUAAUUGGUUCCGUAUUACACAACGCGCAUUACACAGUGCAGUCAUUUCCUCAUGUCUCCCUGUCUUUCUGUCACUAACUGGUUCUCUUUCUCCCAUUAGCCCCUCCUUCUUUUGACAUUGCCCCUCACCCCCUCGUUGACUUAUUCAAAGAAUACAUUUGAACUGAACCAAUUCUGUAAGUGUGAUAUCUGUUAUUUCUAAAAAAGGCGAGUCACUAAAAGGUCUCUCAACACACACGCACACACACUUCUCUCAAUGUGUCAAGGCUUAUGUCUCUCGCCACCACGGUCUGAGAAACCUAUUAAAAAAAUAACCGCUUCUCUGUACAUCAGGGUACAUUUCAGAAAAUUCAGCGCGGAUAUACUGAAUGGGCAGUUUCGUAUUCAGAGUGCCUUUGCAUUAGUUUAGGUUUUUUAUGGUUUGGCGUGCGUUUAUUUUUCCUCUCCUGCGGCGAGGCACACAUGUUAUGGAGUAGCUCCCCCUGGCCCAUUUGUGUGGUUCUGUUUAGUCCCAAAAAUAAAAAAGGGAAAUAAAGAACCAAACCGGCUUGGUUAUGGUACCAGAUGUCUGGAUUCUUUUUUAGUUUAUCAUUUUUGUGGCUUUAAGAAAAAAAGAAUGUGAAAAAUAACAGGUGAUGGCAGAGAAAAUUAAAAUGACUUCCAGUCCAAGGAUUUUUUUUUUUCUUUGGUUCUGCAGAAUAAGAGCUCUGGUUUGCGGGUCGUUGUCUGGAGUGUUCAGCAAACCCACGGAAUGGCACAAUGACAAUGAAAUUCUGGUGCCAAAGCAGGUGUCUAGGCUCUGGUUUCAUGGCAUUUGGGGUGGCUCAUGGUCUUAAAUUCACAGGACCUCGUGCUGGAUUAAAUUGUUGGUCUCGGUCUGGGGUCGCGGUUAUGGGUUGAGCUCUGGGAGGAGAUUCUGCCUUGAUGCGUUUUGCUCCUCCACCGAAUGCUCAGAUUUCAGACGCUCUGGAGGCAAAUCCAGAUCCAAACGUGUGGAUCUGCGGGGCGAGAUAAGUGAAGGAGAACGGGAGGAAAAGGAGCCUGGAGGUGUGUCAGCAGUUCUGCAUGAGGGACCUUGGGCCAAAAAGAGAGACAAAUUAUAUGGACAUGAUUCAGCAAGAAACAGCAAAUGGAUGUAUGAUGGAUUGGAUGGUGAGGAGGAAAUGAGAAGAGAAGGCAUCAGUCAGCAGCUACAGUAGAUGGAGAAAAUGCGUAAGAAGGUGACCAAUCCAAUGGUUUUAAAAACAUACAGACUUUUGCACUUGUAGGUGGAGGUCAUGGCCAUUCCCUCUGCAGCCUUAUUGGAAACCAUCCUUCUCAUCUUCCAGGUCCUCUCUUGAUUUCAUGCAAACAUAGUUUUUCGAAGGCUCAUAAUUUGUUCUCUGUUGGUUUUCCUCUCCGACGUGAUUUUUUAUUCUCACAGUUUGAAAUGUUGGCAAACAUAGAACUUUUAUUGUUUUCCACCACACUCUUUCAACUUUCGACAUUGCUACUCAUACAUAUUUCAUUAUCAUAUUCAAAUUGCAGAACUACCAUUCCAUCAUGUUUUGAGGUAAACGGCACUAUCUGCACAUACUUUGUAAUUUGGAAAGUUGCUUGACUUUAAGGCUCAGUUCCCAAAAGUCUGAUUCUUCCUCUUCAACCAGUAAGUCCCCACGACUCGUCUGGCCUGCUAAGACAGACUUUGCGCCUCCUACAGAAAACCUGAGGUGCCCCAGUCUCAAAAUUCUUAGGUCGACAACAUCAUAUGGUGUGUCACUUUCUGUGGGAUGGCCAUAUGGACUACAGCGAGGCUUCGGAUGUCAGCGGAAUUUAUUGUCAUGAGCUGAGAGGAAACAAAAAUGGAAAAAGGUUUUGUUGUUCGGAUUUUGUUUUGCUUGAAUUAAAAAUUCUGAUACUUUUGCCCAUUCCAAAGUCACUUAGACUAAGGAUUACGACUGUAUAAAAUGUGUAUUCAAUAGGGGUGAUGGAACACUAUACUGCUAUACUGUACCUCUCGAAGGCAAAUGAAGUGUCACUUUAAGGAACACUAUAGGCUACUGUACCUCUUGAAAGCAAAUUAAGUGUCACUUUAAGGAAGCGUAUGAAGAAGAUAACCUCUCUUGGCGCCUGGUGUAUUGAAGUGCUCCUCUUCUGUCCCUCAUAGUGAUGGAAUGGAGUAACCUAGCUCUCCGAGCUUCAACCACCUGCUGAUGUUAGCCAAACAGACGAUGGUUCCUUGAUUAAAAUGUCCCCUGUUGCUGCUCAUGAACUUGACCGGGUCAAAAGCUGACGGCAUGAUCCAAUCUGUGUGUGUGUGUGUGUGUGUGUGUGUGUGUGUGUGUGUGUGUGUGUGUGUGUGUGUGUGGCUGGGGUUUGAGGGGAUAGGGGGUUAAAGCAACAGAAGUAUGGGUGUCAGAGAUGCAGCGAGGAAAAGGUGACGUGUUUUUAAUUGGAUAGAGGAAAAGUGCUUGGAGUUAGGUAGGAUGGCGGAUGCGUUGCAUACAAAAGUGGCCAGUCAUACUUUUAGUUUGGUUUGGCAGCAAAGUGCAGUGUCUCUUGAAUCCACAUUAACGGGUUGAGUGACAAGGAAUGUAGAACGGAUAAAAGUAGCUGUGGAUAAUAAGGACGUAGGAGAAUACACACGAUGGAACUUAUAGUUAAGUUUAAUGGUCAGUACGUCAGCGAUGUUAACUUUUAACACGAUGACGUCAUGCGCGCGGUGCGAAUAUACGGUGUUAGCACGCAGCUAACUAGCUAACAGUCUCUACAGAAUCGUCUUAGGCUACGUGCUUACCUUUCACGCCAGUCCGUUGUCUGAUCGUGAAGUCAGGCUGAUCUGGGUCCAACUGUAUUACCUCUAGUUUCUCCGGCAAAGGUCGGGUCGGUUCUUCUUGAAAGGACACUGCCGGUGGUCGCCCUCGUUAUGUUGUUAAACGGCGCGUCGCGAGACUCGCCCUGACGAUUGCCUAGUGUUAGAAAUUCAUUCAUUUAUCUUUAUCAGUGAUUGGCUGCUUCUUUCCGCUUUGGAACUGUUGUGUUUCAAAAAUAAAGAAUCUCCGGACGGACAGAAGGCAUCUUGUAUUGAAGAGUUAAAAUCAAAAAUAUUUUUUGAAAGAAAAGGUGUUGUGCUAAAAAGAACAUCGAUCAGCUGAAGAGAAGCUGGUCUCUGCAAUCAACCAGCCACAGGGCAGCCCAUUGACCACCCAUAGUGACUUUCUCUUGUCCUUCACCAGCGAACUCCUAGAACAAUGGGUGCCAACAGGUAUUUAUACAGAUUAGUAAAGGUGUGAAAGUGAAAGAGUAUUGCAUGCAUUGCGGUUGAUUACAUUACAUACAAUCAUAACUGUGCAUUGGUAUUAUUCUAUUCAUUACAGUUAUAAAAUUACAGUGGCAUUACACUAUUCUCAUUUCAUUAAUGGUUACAUAGUUUCAGAAUCAUGGCUGUAUUGUGGUGUACACUAAAUGCAUUUUAUUAAUUACUCAUUUAUGAACCGGUUCGUAAGUUUAUUUCUAAUUCUCUACAGGACCGUGCCCGAGCCCAGCUGAGACAUGCAGACAAGUGGAGAGGAUAUGCAAGAAAAGCAUAUAUUUUGCGCAGACAUCUUGAUUUACAAAUGUGUCCUUAAACAUUACUUUUGGUUGGAAUCCAAAUGCACUUAAUUAAAUGUAAUACAGAAUAUUUCCCUCUCUAGCAUCGCCGUUUUGGUUUAACAUUAAAAUACUUUUUUGUUAGCACGGGAUACUGUGAUAUUCUAUAUGUAUAUUAUUGCUAUUAUAUAUUAUAUGCACGAUAUCAGGAUCAUACUGCACCAUCUUUUCAUAAAAUACAUUUCAGUUGAAAACAUUCCUCAAUUUGAGUCACGGCUUGUCAUUAACUUGUCAUGGUGGGUCACGCAGCCAGACUACUGCCCAAAAUGUACAUAGCCAGCCUGGGGGGGGCAGAGAAGUAGGUGUUGAGGAGUUACUGCUUGAGGACGUGUUGCACGCGACUGCUGGGUGGUGGACUUAUACUUAGACUCUGACUGUUGUGGCGGGCAUUUUAUCGCUAUGGCUUCCGCGCUGGCGAGUCCUCACCUCACAUGAAGCUGUCUAUGACCUGUUAAACCCAGUUUAUAUCCAUGUGUGUUGGUCUGUGUGUGUAUGUGUGUGAGGUUCAUAGGGGUUGGUGCUGCUGUGCACAAGUUUGAAGCGAUGCCCAAUUAUGUAGAAAAACAACAGGUUUUGAAUUGUCUUGUCCACAGCGGUGAAACCAUAGAGGUAUGGUGAUGGCUAUGUUUAGCAAUCUCCCAGUUGGCUGGAAACUAAAUAAUGUCGAGGCUGUUUUUGGAUGUGUUUUUUUUUGUUUGACGCUGCACAUUCCUGCUGGAUAACAGGUUUUAACUGGUUGUUAUUAUGCCGGGUUGUGUUUCAAAUUCUUCGCCCUGUGUUCAGGACCCGCUCCUCCCUUUGCAGAGUGGAGAAUGUGAUUAGAAAACACUGCAGAGCCAUUCUGGAAAUCAAACAUCGGUAGAGGUCAACAUGCUCAUGAAACAUACUAAGGACUGAAAUGCCUUGUCUCCUUGUUCCUGAUGAUUUGAGCAAAGUUGGCAAAGCAAACCCUGGUGAGUUUCAGUUUGAAUGAAACAGUAGGUAUUUUUUCAUAGGGUUGACAACUCAGUUUGGAAAAAAAGAGCUUUUGUAGACGCUAUUAAAAAUCCGUUACUCUGCAAUAGCAAAUAAAAGAAAUCCCUUGACUCAAAUAGGAUCACUAGCAUUAGAGUAGUUUUGUCAGCAAAGCAAAAUUGUCUCACACUAUUUAAUAAAAAUAGAAAUAAAAAAACAACAUCUACCGGAGGGACAACGUUGAAUCAUAUUGUACAACUUGCAUGGUAUUUUGUACAAUUCUGCAAAUAACCUGCAGUGGUGAUGAAUACAUAAAGGUCGGCAGUUUUCUUGGACUUGAUACAGAGUAAUACUGGACCAGAAUCGCUUACAUCAAUAUAAAUGAAGUUUGGGCGUAAAUUCAGUCAGGAAGACUGGAGAAGCUAUGCCUGCCCUAGGGGCUAUGUGGGUAUGCCAUGAACUGAAACGGUGCCAUGCCCACCCCAACGCGUCAGGGCUGUCAACGUUAAAAGCUGUUUUCAUCUCUGCUGCUGUCAGUUGUCGUUUCAGCAAGCACCAGACGCAACCCUCCACCAACCCUGAGACCUCCAUUCAGCAGGGGAAUCUGGCAUAUCGAUAGAGUGGAGCAACUUAUUCUCUACCACCACCACCAGUAUCUGGACUCCCAAAGGGGGGAUAUGCCUCAUCUGAUCUAGGCAUCCCGGCCCCUGGUCUAUCCUACCGCUGGAUGGAGUCCAAGCCCCAACACUUUUAAUACUUGUGCUUGUGUUAAUGAAUCACUGUUAAAAGUUUCUCCUUAUUGAAAUACCUUUACCAAUCACAAACGCCUGAUGUACAUUCAUUUUCCUUUGCUUCCUCAAUUACUAAGUUGCUAAUUAAAGAACUUUUGAUUCACUUUUUUUUUAUUCAACAGUGCUUGGGAAUGAAUGCGAUCAAUGGAUGUUUUACAAGUGUGAAUCAUCACAGCUGAUGGUGAAUCAUCUACCAUCAACUGUGAAAGAGCUCCCUUCAUGCUCCUUUGCUUUCAUGUUCCACUCAGCCGCUGAGACUGGGGCAGACCAGAAGUUGUUUGCAGAGAUAGUUUAGAGCCUCUCCUUCUUUAGGCCACUAGACCAGAUUUUGGGAUAAGAAGAGUUCUGGUUUCCAUUUGUGGUCUUUACCGAUCACGCUGGGGCUGAAUGCACUGUAUGCUCAGCUUUAUUCUAUAAAGUGUCACUAGAGUCUGUGAGUGGAAUUGGUCAUGGCAAAGUCUCACAGUCACUGAGUGAGAUUCAUCAGCACUGAAAGAGUGACAUCAUUUUUUACCCAUACAUUUAAGUACCCAGCGACACCAGCAUGUUAAGCACCAAGAUCACUACUAAUUACAAAAUGAAUAGGAUAUUAGAUGAACUCGGUGCCCUCUCAGGUAGUACAUCUCUAAUUUUUUGUCAGAAAGGAGAGCACUUCCACAGGAGUUUUGUGGAAGCAGUCCAUUUAUCAGCAUUUAGGUAUCUAUUUUUGCAAUGAAUAAACAUAAAUCUGGGAAAUGUGUAAGGUGCGUCAAAAAACAAGACAGAAAAAAAUUGUGUCUGUCACCAAUUGUGUCUCCAAUUCAUCUCAGUACGUGCUGUGGGGACACUGUCUUUCUCCCAGACACAUACACACACACACACACACACACACAACCUUCUCUUCCUGAUACCACAUUGCUUUAGGUGGUAGUCGCAGUGCCUGCAGCGCUGAGGGGACCACACAGGGAGAUGGGUCCGGGCUCAGCAGAAAGGGAAGCACCAGCAGCAGCGUGACUCCGUCGCCCCCGGCUGCUUGUGGUUGUCAGCAGUGUUUGCUUCAGGCGGGAGUAGCUCUUUGUGUGUGUGUUCGCAGGUGUAUGGUGAUGGCUCUAAGAUCAGCAGACAGUGCUCGCUGGGAGUUGUAAACACCGGGUUGGCGUACAGGGCAUGAUUCAACACCACAGACUACAGGCUGUGUGCACGCUCGUAACCAAAGCUGUUUUUUAACACUUGUCUACCUUCAGAAAAUCCCACUUCAUUAAAACACUGUUGAUACAACAUCUCCCUCCACAUUCGGCCUUCAAGAUCUCCUUGGUGGCCUGUAGUCACUAAUCCGUAGCGCUCGAGGUCUGCACAGAGAUGGGAUUACCGUGGACGCGUGUGCAUGCGAGAGCCACAGUCUUACUUUUCAAAGAUCUGCGUGUCCGUGUUUACCCAGUUGUAAUUGGAGCGCAGGUAGGCACAGAGUGUGCCAUUUUGUCCUAAUCUCCUCCUGGGCAAUUUAGCCCAAACCAGCCCACCGCCCGCCCCCAAAAAGACCCUGCUUGACCCUGCACCUUGGUUGCAAUUACAAAUCCAUACAACACACACACACACACACACACACUACCAAAGCUGUCCAAAUCCAUCCUGUGCUAGACAGAUACCAGGACCCCCGUGGGCGUGUGUUUCCAGAGGACAUGUGACCUUAAUUGCUUAAGUCUUAAAUUAUCUUUAAUUGUGCUUCCCUGUGUUGCUUUAUGGUAAUAGAGGGGCGGGUGGAGGGUGGCAGGGUUCAUGUUGAGCUAUAGUUACAGCAGGAAACAGGCCAGUGAAAGGCCAUGUAGUCACCUCCAGCUGAGUCCACACACAAUCACACACGGACAAACUCGUGUUGUGGAUUGUAUGUAUGUACCUGCUGAGCUCUAAAAUUUACAAACAGUAAAUAUUCAGUCACAAGCAAUAUUUGUUCUAUGUCCAAUUUGUUCUCACCUACUUUUGUUGAGCUUUAUUUGUCUUUUCCUUUCUGCCUUCCUUUUUUUAAAUGGCAUCACACAUUAUGUUGACUUACUUUUGAUUAGGUAGACACAGCCAAGGCGGUCGAACAGGGAGGAUGUCCGAGGUUGUGUACUCGUCCAAGUUCUUUAGCUGUCUAGUGGAUGAUCAGUGGAUGAAAAUCUCGCUCUGGGCUCCAGCCAGUCAGGACUGAACCAUUUCCCAAUCUUCAUUUUGUUCCACUAGUGCAGAUUUGAUUGAUUUCUACUUAAAAAAUCCAUUGAUAAAGGUCUCUGUUGAGGUUUCUAUGCUUGAAUGAAGAGCAUUUUUAAUUUUUCCUAAUAGAGGCUGAGUAUCCACUGUAUCUGAACUGCUGCUUGGUCUCCAGAGUUUGAUGUCAACUGAGCAGUGUUUCCCUCCUUGAGAGAGAACAUAUGUCAGGGCUAAAUUAAACUAGUUUUUUCUGACCGGUUGAUUGAACCUUAGUUUAAAAGCAGGCGUCAAAGAACAGAUGCCACUGUCCAAACUUGAGUUUGCAAAAGGUGACUACCUCGUCUAGGGCGCUGGGAGUAAGCAAAAAGGAGGCUCAUGUUGUGAAGCCUCACAUAUUGUAAUAGAAAACAUUUAUCUUCGCUAUUUGGCUCAGCUGACCUUUCAGGGUCAAAAAUGUGUCACUCUCAUUUAAAUUGUUCAUUUGAACAUUAUUUUUGCCAGAAGUUCGCCAAGUGUUUUCCAAAAAGCUGUCUUCCCAUAGCUUCUAUUGGGAUUCCAGAAAACCAACGAGAUGAUUUCUUGCGCUGAUUCAGAGCAAGCGAACCUGCUUUAAAUUAGCUGCUAACAUUACUGGGACCACAGCUGAAGGGUUAGAGGGAUACACUAUAACGGCCGUGACCCCUUCACUCGGCAACGUACAGCAUGCGUCUGUCCAAAUAAAAAGUAUUCCCUUCCUUGCUUUGAGCCAUCAGUUAGCUGUGAUAAAUCCAUGAUGUGAAAUCACUAGUUGUUCCUCUCCAUAUCACACAGGUGGGUUUACUACAGCAGCAGCUGUCCCACUGACAAUCCCUCCGUGUCAACACGUCAGCAUAACCGCCGCCCGCCUCCCCCCGUCCUUCAUCGCGUCUUUUCACUUCAGAGGUCGGGAAGACGUUGGGCGACGACAGUGAGAGGUCAGAGCCUGACCGCCAUUAACCUGUCAGAGGUCAGGGUGUAGGCAGGGACCCGACGUGUUCCCUGAUGUAAACCCGCUUUCAGCGCUGGCUCAGUGAGGGCUGGAUGCAUUUGUAUUGAGUAUGCUGGUAUUAGAAAAAUUAAAGGGUUUUGAAGGUACAGAUGAACAAACCAGGAAACCAUGGGGAAACGUGACACUGACGAAAAGAAGCAGAAGGGGUUCACCAGAGGCAGAAAUAAUUGUAAAAUCUGUAAAAUUACAAAAAAGCCUGGUCACAUCUUUGCUAUGUAUGUACUUAUAUACUUAUAUAUAUAAUUGAACUGAUUUGUUGAAUUAUAUUAUAUUAUAUAUUAUAUUGAACUUGAAAAGAAUCUGGCUACGGUAAUUCACAGCAAAAUAAUACAUAUAAAUAUAGGAAGUAAUUAAAACAGAUAUCAUUAAACAUGUGGGUCGUCGUGGCGCAGGGGUUAGAGAAGGUGUGCUGGGAAGCACAAGGUUGUUGGUUCGAGUCCAGGCUGCCCCAUGUCCCCAUGUUCCAAGACACCUAAACCCUAAUUGCUCCCCGGGCAAAAAUGUGAAAAAGCCAUGGGUUUAAAGUGUAAUGUAAGUCGCUUUGGAUAAAAGCGUCUGCUAAAUGACCUGUAAUGUAAUGUAAAAACAAUAAAAUCGAAAUAAACAUAUUUUAUGCAUUUCUCUCUCUUAAGCAAGUUUUUCAGUGUGUGUAACCCAUUUUACAUACAUUGCAAAUAUUUACAGCACAACUUUUAAGCACAUCUUUGUUUCCUGUUUGAUUUUGAUUAUGAUUCUGCCUUACAAACAGGGUUAUUAUGAAGAGCAUUUUCAUAAUAACCCUCUAUGUCUUAUAUUCUCUACAUGCAUUGUUUUUACAGUAAUAUAUGUGAUGAGGGUGCACAUGUAAAUGUUUAGAGAGCGAUGAUACAGCAUGCAAAUAUCGACGAUAGAGACAACUUUGCAUCCCAGCAUAUUGGCUGGUAAUACUCUCAACAAUGACCAAAAAUUAUGUGUUACAACCCUUCUAUAACCUUUACCAGAUGUUAUUUUGCCACUUCACUUUUCUCAUAAAUUAUAUUUCCCAGCUCUCAAACAAAAGGACAUAAAUGCAGCUAUUUACCAUUUGUUUUCACAAUCGGUGAAGAAGAAAAAAACUACUUCUUGAAGUGUUUACGUAGUAUGAUUUAUUUUAUUUGCAGUUGCGGGACGCGUUCCAGCAGCACCGGUAAGAAACACGCCACAUACCUGGAGGCCAUCAAUCUGAGAGCAAUUACAGCAAAACCAACGUCAGGCAAUAUUUGCUGAAAUGGUUUAUAUUGACAAACAUACGGGUAGGAGAGGCACUUAAUGCAAAAAAUAGCAUGUUGCCAGGUACAUUUCUGUGGCUUUCCAACCUUGCAUAUGUACAUACAGUGUGUGUGUGUGUGUGUGUGUGUGUGUGUGUUGACACACACUAGAUAUUUCACAGGCUUGGCAUACUUCCCUUACUUAUGUGUGGUCUUUCUGUAAACACGUCAGCGAAACUCCUCGACUUGCGUGCACAAUAGUACAACUUAUUCUUAUAAACAGCAUCCGCACACACACAUAAUCCAAGUUAGUAAUUAAAAGGAUUCAUCGAGGGAGAUGACCAUCGCCUGAAUUUGAAUGGCAGAGGGAGAAGGAAGAAAGGACAGUUGAUGGCCAACACUAAUACAAAAGUAAUUUACAGAAUAUCGUUGACAAGUAGAAGAAGAGGCCCAAAUGUUUUUUACAAAGCACCAGGUUAAGCACCAUGGGACCGUUGCUCCUGGGGUUACACAAUUCACGACUAGCUGGCAAGUAGUCGACUCGUCGUGUCACGUGAGAAGUAUGUAUAUUUUUUCCCACCGAUAACAAUCGUGAAAGGUCACGUGAUGUAGGCCGGAAUCCGCCUAUCUGCUCCCCCCUGGAGGCUGUUUACAAAUGAGCCGCAGCCUGAUUGUAACAUACUGAGCGGGCUUGUCCGGGCUGGAGCAGCAACCACUGCCUUGGUGGGAUAACGGGAGCCAUUGACACCACUGCAAUACUUCAAACAAUAAACUCCUAGUAUACAACUUUCUGGUGAAUUGUGCUGACCCAAUUUAAUGUGGAAAUAUUCUUAUUGACGUCAAACACGAAAUGCAGCCGCUGACUUGUUUUUUACACUCUGGGCACACGUUUUUUUUGUUUGAUCAGGCUCCUGACUUACUGGACAGUAAGUACAAACCACAGCACAGUUAUUGGUCAUGAUCAGCAACGUCGGCCCGAGAUCAGAAAUCUUGUUUCUGGGAAAAAAAGUUUUUAACCACAACUUUGACGGUUUAGAGGUUUGACUGUCAUUCAGCUGUAAAUCAUGAAUCAAUUAGAUUGAUCAAACAAACUAUGUGUAUCUUUAUCUGCUCCUGUUUUGCAAGCACGGACACAGAACACAUAUUUAACCAUCUUUUCCUUUGGAGAGUAAACGAUUUUUUUCAGUUAAUUUGAAUUUAUUAAAAUCAACUGAAUGGAAAAAAAUGUUCUCCCCGCGCCGCCCCAACAACUCCUCCUCCUCCUCCUUUUUUUGUCGGGGGGGAGUUUUAUGGCUAGAAAAAUAGAAUUUGUGGUUUCGACGGUCGAGGUUUGAUGCAAACGGCUUUGGAACCUUUUAUGCAACCUGGCGUCCAGGAGACUAAAGACAAUAUUUUUCUUUCCACCCUUUUGAGCCUUUUAGCCUCUGCUAGGGGAAAAGGAGAGAGGCGCUGCGAAAAAAAAAAUCUCUCCAAGGUCAAAUGUCCUGAGUGGGAUGACUGCCAGAUCUGCUCCAUAACCACUUUGCACACACACAGUUCCAUGCAGAACACACACCGUUACACACACAGGUGGAAGGACAUAGAACAUGCUGCACACACACACACACACACACACACACACACACACACACACACACACGCACUUCACAACUUUUAUGUGAUGUGGAGUAAAAAAAAUCUCUGAAGAUCUUCAUAAUUUAUUUUUAUGUUGUUAAAUUGUUACGAAUUGACAUCUCUUUAGGGCCGAGUUAGAAACAAUACAAAGUUUACUGUAAAUGCAGAGAGAUGAUGAGAUAAAGGAAAAGAGAGAGAGAGGGAGUUUCCUCAUCACAAUCCUGUCUUUGUGUGCAUUUGAGCAUGUUUUGCUUCCACUGUGCUUUACGCUCAAUGAGUUCAAUCUGUGAUUAUCCACAACGUCAUGUACAAACAUACACGCUCAAACACACACACACACACACACACACACACAUAGCGCACGCUUCCACAAGUGCACGCAUGCUGGGCCCAUAGCCCCCUGUGUGCAAUUAGGAUGCAGAGUUUGUUAGCUCGAUGUGAAGUCCGUUGCUCGGGUCAGGAGCCUGAUGACUUGGUUUGGUGUUUUUUUUGUUGCGCCCGGCCUGCAGAUGAGCCGCUGUAGACGGGGUGGUAUUCACAGCUUUUUUUCUUAUAAUGUAUUUCUAAGUUUAUGUGUAGUGUAGUUCAUUUUAGGCCAUGUCCCUUUGAGGCUCCAUCCCUAAAAGGCCCACGCCACGUGAGUCACAUACACAGGGUUAUUUAGCACUUCUACCGUGCCAGUGAAGUCCUGAAGACCCUUGAACGUGCUAUCUUUAAUCAACUCUCCUCUUAUCUCCACUGUAACAACCUCCUUGACCCCCACCAGUCAGGUUUCAAGGCAGGCCACUCUACAGAGACUGCUCUCCUUGCUGUCUCUGAGCAACUCCACACUGCUAGAGCCGCCUCUCUCUCCUCUGUCCUCAUCCUUCUGGACCUCUCUGCUGCAUUUGACACGGUCAACCACCAGAUCCUUAUUUCCUCCCUUCAGGAACUUGGUGUCACAGGCUCUGCUC